rnacentral:rRNA from 1 species
GGUUAAGCGAACAAGCGUACACGGUGGAUGCCCUGGCAGUCAGAGGCGAUGAAGGACGUGCUAAUCUGCGAAAAGCGCCGGUAAGGUGAUAUGAACCGUUAUAACCGGCGAUGUCCGAAUGGGGAAACCCGGUGCACUUCGGUGCAUCAUCGUUAGCUGAAUACAUAGGCUAACGAGGCGAACCGGGGGAACUGAAACAUCUAAGUACCCCGAGGAAAAGAAAUCAACCGAGAUUCCCCCAGUAGCGGCGAGCGAACGGGGAACAGCCCAGAGCCUGAAUCAGUUUGUGUGUCAGUGGAACGGUCUGGAAAGGCCGGCGAUACAGGGUGACAGCCCCGUACACGAAGGCACACAGGUUGUGAGCUCGAUGAGUAGGGCGGGACACGUGAUAUCCUGUCUGAAGAUGGGGGGACCAUCCUCCAAGGCUAAAUACUCCUGACUGACCGAUAGUGAACCAGUACCGUGAGGGAAAGGCGAAAAGAACCCCGGCGAGGGGAGUGAAACAGAACCUGAAACCGUGUACGUACAAGCAGUGGGAGCCUUCGUAAGAGGGUGACUGCGUACCUUUUGUAUAAUGGGUCAGCGACUUAUAUUCUGUAGCAAGGUUAACCGUAUAGGGGAGCCGAAGGGAAACCGAGUCUUAAUUGGGCGUUAAGUUGCAGGGUAUAGACCCGAAACCCGGUGAUCUAGCCAUGGGCAGGUUGAAGGUUGGGUAACACUAACUGGAGGACCGAACCGACUAAGG